UUUGUGCAAGGAUGAUGAAUCUAUUAGAUGUGUGAAGGGAGUCUUUCCAUUAUGAACGGACUCAUGAGGCAUUUCAAGGUUCUGACUUGCUAUAU